rnacentral:rRNA from 1 species
UACGUAGGGGGCUAGCGUUGUCCGGAAUCAUUGGGCGUAAAGAGCGUGUAGGCGGUUCGGUAAGUCCGCUGUGAAAGUCCAGGGCUCAACCCUGGGAUGCCGGUCGAUACUGCCGGACUAGAGUUCGGAAGAGGCGAGUGGAAUUCCCGGUGUAGCGGUGAAAUGCGCAGAUAUCGGGAGGAACACCAAUGGCGAAGGCAGCUCGCUGGGACGUUACUGACGCUGAGACGCGAAAGCGUGGGGAGCAAACAGG